GGGAAUGUGGCUUAGUGGUAAAGUGCUUAUCUAGCAUGCAGGAAGCCAUGGGUUUGAUUCCUCAGUACCA
rnacentral:tRNA from 1 species